rnacentral:rRNA from 1 species
UACGUAGGGUGCGAGCGUUAAUCGGAAUUACUGGGCGUAAAGUGUGCGCAGGCGGCCGCGCAAGUCGAGUGUGAAAGCCCCGAGCUUAACUUGGGAAUUGCGCUCGAAACUACGUGGCUGGAGUGUGGCAGAGGAAGGUGGAAUUCCAGGUGUAGCGGUGAAAUGCGUAGAGAUCUGGAGGAACACCGAUGGCGAAGGCAGCCUUCUGGGCCAACACUGACGCUCAUGCACGAAAGCGUGGGGAGCAAACGGG